rnacentral:rRNA from 1 species
AGUGAACGCUGGCGGUAGGCCUAACACAUGCAAGUCGAACGGCAGCACAGUAAGAGCUUGCUCUUACGGGUGGCGAGUGGCAGACGGGUGAGGAAUACAUCGGAAUCUACUUUUUCGUGGGGGAUAACGUAGGGAAACUUACGCUAAUACCGCAUACGACCUACGGGUGAAAGCAGGGGAUCUUCGGACCUUGCGCGAUUGAAUGAGCCGAUGUCGGAUUAGCUAGUUGGCGGGGUAAAGGCCCACCAAGGCGACGAUCCGUAGCUGGUCUGAGAGGAUGAUCAGCCACACUGGAACUGAGACACGGUCCAGACUCCUACGGGAGGCAGCAGUGGGGAAUAUUGGACAAUGGGCGCAGGCCUGAUCCAGCCAUACCGCGUGGGUGAAGAAGGCCUUCGGGUUGUAAAGCCCUUUUGUUGGGAAAGAAAAGCAGCAGGUUAAUACCCCGCUGUUCUGACGGUACCCAAAGAAUAAGCACCGGCUAACUUCGUG